rnacentral:rRNA from 1 species
UAGGGAAUCUUCCACAAUGGGCGAAAGCCUGAUGGAGCAACGCCGCGUGAGCGAAGAAGGUCUUCGGAUCGUAAAGCUCUGUUGUAAGGGAAGAACAAGUGCGGUAGUAACUGACCGCACCCUGACGGUACCUUACGAGAAAGCCACGGCUAACUACGUGCCAGCAGCCGCGGUAAUACGUAGGUGGCGAGCGUUGUCCGGAAUUAUUGGGCGUAAAGCGCGCGCAGGCGGUCUCUUAAGUCUGAUGUGAAAGCCCCCGGCUUAACCGGGGAGGGUCAUUGGAAACUGGGAGACUUGAGUGCAGGAGAGGGAAGCGGAAUUCCAUGUGUAGCGGUGAAAUGCGUAGAGAUAUGGAGGAACACCAGUGGCGAAGGCGGCUUCCUGGCCUGUAACUGACGCUGAGGCGCGAAAGCGUGGGGAGCAAACA